GCGGCCGAUUAGGUAGUUGCUGGGGUAACGUCCCAACAAGCCGAUAAUCGGUACGGGUUGUGAGAGCAAGAGCCCGGAGAUGGAUUCUGAGACACGAAUCCAGGUCCUACGGGGCGCAGCAGGCGCGAAAACUUUACACUGCGCGAAAGCGCGAUAAGGGGACCUCGAGUGCGUGCGCAAAGCGUACGCUUUUCAGAUGCCUAAAAAGCAUCUGGAAUAAGGGCCGGGCAAGACCGGUGCCAGCCGCCGCGGUAACACCGGCGGCUCAAGUGGUGGCCGCUAUUAUUGGGCUUAAAGGGUCCGUAGCCGGACCAGUUAGUCCCUUGGGAAAUCUUACGGCUUAACCGUAAGGCUGCCAAUGGAUACUGCUGGUCUUGGGACCGGGAGAGGCAAGAGGUACCUCAGGGGUAGGAGUGAAAUCCUGUAAUCCUUGAGGGACCGCCAGUGGCGAAGGCGUCUUGCUAGAACGGGUCCGACGGUGAGGGACGAAAGCUGGGGGCACGAACCGGAUUAGAUACCCGGGUAGUCCUAGCCGUAAACGAUGCGAGCUAGGUGUCACGUGGAUUGCGAAUCCAUGUGGUGCCGAAGGGAAACCGUGAAGCUCGCCGCCUGGGAAGUACGGCCGCAAGGCUGAAACUUAAAGGAAUUGGCGGGGGAGCAC
rnacentral:rRNA from 1 species